AUAAAUUCUGUAUCCCUCCAUAACCUUUGCUGUGAAGGAGAAAUCCUCUCCAAAGUUACUGUAUUUAUUGGUUAUACUGUGACUUAUUUUGCAAAUAUACCCUUUGUGAUAGCAACGCCAAUAUGGAUUACAGAUAGGGGGGGCACACAUUUUGGCAGCCGAGGCCACACAGCCUGAUAAAAUCUGUAUCCCUCCAUAGCUUUUGCUGUGAAGAAACCCUCUCCAACGUUACUGUAGUUAUUGGUUAUACUGUGAUUGAUUUUGCAAAUAAACUCCUUCGUGAUAGCUACACUACAAAGUGUAAACCGAGUGUAAAUUCACCGGAGAGCGACGUGUUUCCAUGAUCGCGUCUGGUUUUACAGUAUUAUAGUAUCAAAGUAUUUUUCUAGACAAAGUAUUCCCAGCAGGUUAUUUCAGUGUACAGUUUAAGGUAAAUUGUCUUCCACACGGCACAUUACAAUGUCACGAAACUAAUAUUAAAUUAAUCGAGACUGCCGUUUUCCAGCUUUUACUCUUGCAGAUCAGUGACAAGUAGCGUACAGAACGGAGCUGGGCAAGUGGCUCCUCCUACUUUGCGCGCUCUCGUGGAUGGGGAAACAAUUUUUGACGGGGGUAACUACUUUGGCACAACACCGUAUUACUUGGAAUACACAGGGAAUGUAAAACAAAGUGGAGGCUGGCUUGACUGCAAUUCUCGAAUUGGAGGUUGGCUCGACAGAAGUUGCCUUACUGGAAGAAUACAUUCAAACCUCGGAGUGGUUCCUGGACAUUAGAUCCUAUUGAGACAAAAUGGGUAAAAACGAUCAGAAGCUGAGCUGUGAAUGGAUAACACGUGAAGACCGCAUGGACGUGAGUAAUGAAUAAUAUCGAGAGGAGUGUUGGAACUAACCACUGAUGAAUAUAAAACCAGCUGUUUGAGUCCUGCAGUGGAGACACCGUGGUCAUAGUUUCAUUUGUUUCUGGGAUUCUUUCUGCGCUCGUCGUUUUGUGUCUCUGUGUGUGUUUCAUCUACACCACAGCGUAACUCGCCUUUAAAGCUUCUCAGUGAAACCAACGACACGAUGUUUCUGUGAAAGCUGAUUUACAGCAGACGCUCCAGAAGAAAGUUACUGAGGGAAACAGAUUCAUACCUCAGUGAACUGAAAUCCUGCGUUUCCUUUGUCUUUAUGUUGAUCCAGCUUAUUACAGGGAAGGAAAUACUCUUGCUUUAAUUUAUGCCAUCAUUUUUAAUUGCAUUGAGAAGCAGUGCUUUCUAUGAUGAUCAUGAAAUGUGAAAACUGACACUGCAUUUGACAUGUUGCUAUCAGGAAGUGAACUGUGAAGCACGCGAAAGUGCAGCUGGUUUUAACUCUGUUUGGUCCUGUUACAGGACGUCUGUGAAUGUUUUUAGUGUUUGUGCUCCAGAGCUACUGCUCUCAUUAUUAUUAUUAUUGUAUGUUUCAUGUCUGCAGUCAGACAGUCUCAGUCAUUAGUCACACAGAAGAUCGUUUCACAGGUCGUCCCAUCUCAAAUCAACGAAACAAACAAACAAACAAACAAACAAUUUGAGGACAUGAACGUUGUGCUGUUUAUAGACAUGUCUGGGUCGAUGUUGAAUUGCCUUUUUAAAAUUCCUUCACUAUAUAAACUGCUCAAGAUCCUUUAAAUUUAAAUUUAAUAUCUGAUGCAACGACAUAUUCACAGAGCCAUGUUUACAUAUGUGCACAUAUACAGUAACUAACUGUGGCUUUGUAAAGUGCAAAAUGUACCUCUGCUGUGUAAUGUACAACCUUCUUUUCAAAACACGUGUUAGAGGUUUCCUCCUCCUCAUCAUUGCCCCUCCCACCUCCCAUCCUCUGCCCAAUGUUUUCCUGAUGAAGGCCACGAGCAGAAACAUGUUGACUGAGUAAUUCAGUCGUUCUUGUUCCCACGAUGCUGCUCGAGCUUCACCUUCUUUAGGCUAUCGCUCUUCUUCCUGCACCUUGAGUAAUAAGUGAAGUUGUGCCAGAGAUCUUUGUGUUUCCACGGAUGUCGUCCUGAUCCUGGAUCACAUCAGCUCCAGUUUUAUCUCUUUACAGUGAAACAGACGCUCAGAGCUGCACAUGCAAGCUUGAUGUGGUCCAAGGAUGAGCAAGACCCUGUUUUUUACUGUUAUUUAGUCUGUGCUGAUACUUUAGCUUCCACUCUGUGGAGGCUUGAUGCUCGUGACUUUUAAACAUUAGUUUUCUCUUUUUUGUUGGUGAAAUGAAUGAAUGAACUUUCUUGUGGGACACCUCGUCCCUUCAUGCUCAUGAAAAAACAUAAAACAUUGUCUCAACUU